AUCCUUUUGUAGUUAUAAGCGUGAUGAUUGGGUGGUCACACUUUUGCGUGAGAUGUGCCUCCCACAAACCUUGUUAUGACAUCGGCACAUUACCCAUCUGACA
ensembl:snoRNA